UACGUAGGGUGCGAGCGUUGUCCGGAAUUACUGGGCGUAAAGAGCUCGUAGGUGGUUUGUCGCGUUGUUCGUGAAAACUCACAACUCAAUUGUGGGCGUGCGGGCGAUACGGGCAGACUGGAGUACUGCAGGGGAGACUGGAAUUCCUGGUGUAGCGGUGGAAUGCGCAGAUAUCAGGAGGAACACCGGUGGCGAAGGCGGUUCUCUGGGCAUGAUCUGACGCUGAGGAGCGAAAGUGUGGGGAGCGAACAGG
rnacentral:rRNA from 1 species